GCACUAGUUCUCUAGUGCAUCUACUAAAAUUGGAACGAUACAGAGAAGAUUAGCAGGAAUCAGGAAUCAGGAAACUUUAUUGUCAUUU
rnacentral:snRNA from 1 species